UGCUCUGUGGUUAAUGAACCUGGUGGAGCAUCGCAUUUGCACACUCUCCUCUGGCAGAGGCUGAAUCAGGGAGUGGGAGCAAGUAAUGGAAAGGUAGCUUUCCCUCUGAAAUGACGAAGAUUUCCCAGGGCAAGAAUUACUGAAUACUCUCUUGGCAGUGAGAAGAAAGUCCAUGGCAUUCUGGCUGAAGCUCAGAACAAAAGUCAAGAAAGUCCAUCAUCAUCCAUGGAGUUUCUGUUGCUCUGUUUAUUGAAGAGAGAGAGGAAGCAGGAGGAGAAGAAUUACAAUGUGUUGUUCAAAGGAAUUACUGCAUGGCUGAGUGUCAGCCUCUGAAAUUCUCAAAAAGCUCAUGAAAAGAACUGCUGUGUUUCCUUUGGAAAAACUGGAUGGCAGCAUAAAGAGAGAAAAAAAAAGUGUCAGAAUAUGUUACAGCUUUACAGGGAUUUGGAAAUGUAAUAGAGAGUUUAGGAUGUACCUAUUGGUGUCACAACUCAAACUGGACAAAGAAUUCAUUUGGGGAUAGAUUUUAUUAUUCUUAAUGUGUUAUGACCCACCAUGAGGACAGAAGUACUGCUCAGCAAUGCAAACGUGUCAGUGGAAAAUCAUGAGGUUUUCCUUGAGAAACAAUGAAAUUCCUCAAAGGUUAGUAGUGUGCAAUAAAGAAGGUUGAUGAGAUGACUGUUUGGAUCAUCUUCAAAGUUGAGGAAAGACUAUUUGAUGUGCUUAGCCAAGGGGGC